AUUGAACGCUGGCGGCAGGCCUAACACAUGCAAGUCGAGCGGAGCGGCGGAAGGGUGAGUAAUGCCUAGGAAUCUGCCUGGUAGUGGGGGAUAACGUCCGGAAACGGGCGCUAAUACCGCAUACUAUCAGAUGAGCCUCGGUCGGAUUAGCUAGUUGGUGGGGUAAAGGCCUACCAAGGCGACGAUCCGUAACUGGUCUGAGAGGAUGAUCAGUCACACUGUAACUGCGACACGGUCCAGACGCCGACGGGAGGCAGCAGUGGGGAAUAUUGGCCAAUAGACGAAAGCCUGAUCCAGCCAUGCCGCGUGUGUGAAGAAGGUCUUCGGAUUGUAAAGCACUUUAGGUUGGGAGGCGUUACCAACAGAGUAAGCACCGGCUAACUUCGUGCCAGCAGCCGCGGUAAUUC
rnacentral:rRNA from 1 species